rnacentral:rRNA from 1 species
AAGGAUCAUUACUGAGAGAGGGGCUUCGCGCUCCCGGGGGCUUCGGCCCCUAACUCUUCACCCAUUGUCUACCUACCUUUGUUGCUUUGGCGGGUCCUGAGGACCUCUCGCGCCGGCGCACCCGCCGGCGAGCGCCCGCCAGAGGCCUAUUAAAACCUAUUUGUCAGUGAUGUCCGAGCGAAAAACACAAUAAUCAAAACUUUCAACAACGGAUCUCUUGGUUCCAGCAUCGAUGAAGAACGCAGCGAAAUGCGAUAACUAAUGUGAAUUGCAGAAUUCAGUGAAUCAUCGAGUCUUUGAACGCACAUUGCGCCCCUCGGUAUUCCGGGGGGCAUGCCUGUUCGAGCGUCAUUAUACCCCUCAAGCGUAGCUUGGUAUUGGGCCUCGCCCCCGUGGCGUGCCCGAAAAGCAGUGGCGGUCCGGGGCGACUUUAAGCGUAGUAAAAUCAUCCCGCUUUGAAAGAUCGCCCCGUGGCCGGCCAGACAACCCCAUAUAUUCCAAAUCAUUGACCUCGGAUCAGGUAGGGAUACCCGCUGAACUUAA